AAGGUCACUAUCUAAAUAGUUACAUCUAUCCACAAUAAAUUUAAAUUUAAUUUAUAACGCUCAUUUCUUAAGGGCUGUUUAGCAAUAGGAAUUAAUACUUGAUUGUCAAUUCCUAAAAUAAGAAUCAAAAGUUAAAAUCAUGUUUAAUAAAGUAAUUCUACUUUUCAACAGUAAAAUAGUACUUUCUCUAUUUGUGAAGAAAAAAGAAAGUGCCAAUUUGACACUUUCUCUGAUUUCUAUACUGUAGAGAGAAAUUGCUUUCUAUACUGUAGCUACUUAUUCCACCAAAUCCCUCUUUCUUCCUCUACUUAUCCCAUCAGAAGACCGACGCCACGCCACUGCAAUUUUGGGUUCGGGUGAUCAGUGACCGGCAAUCGGCGACGGAGGGGAUCCAUAAACCCUAGAAAAUUCUCUGCAAAGCUGGCCACACACACGAUGAGAGACAACGAAGCGCACGAUGAUCAAAAAAAUCCAUCGAUGAAGCAGCUUCCGAUUCAAUUCCCUCUGAUUCUCCAUCUCAGAAGCGUCUUCUCAUCGAUCCAAAACCUAACUAUUGUUCAACCGCAUCAUCAGCAUCGAUCUUGUCCUCCGAUUUGAUUUUUUUUUUUAUCUCUCAUCGGCAUCACCGGCGACCACCGUAUCGGCGAUGAGACUUAGGUCAAUAAGGUUAAAACGGGCUAAAAAUGGUCCAUUACAGCCUUUUUAGAGUUAAGCAAAAGUUCCGAGAAGACUCCAGAAAAAUUCGAAAAAAGAUCAAAAAUGCUAAAUUUUUGGAUGGAUCGAGAAUUUUUCGAUCGAUCGAUUUAUUCCUGCGUGCCCAAACUUUACCUACCGCAUAGUUACGGGAUUAGAUAUUUUAAGGGCUUAUUUUCUAACUUAUUCACUACUCCAAGGACCUUGUAUUUAAAGGGAAUUGAACCAUUUUGUAAAAGAUCUUUUAUCUUCAAUUUUAUAUUCAUUGUAAUUUUUAUUUUCUCUCUUUAGAAAAUUUAGAGAUUAGGGUUAGAAAAAAAGAGAAGAGUGGAGGCACCAAGAACACAUCUCAAAAUCUACACACACUCUCUAUCUUGAAUUCAACAAAGAAGAAGAGGAAGAAGAUAGAGCCAUGCUUGGGGAUUGCCCUUGAGGGUUCCAAGAUUGCAUCCACAUUCUCCAUGAUUGACUAGACUUCUCCUUGUAGCUUGGAUGAGCCCCAAGUUUGUAAUUUAAACCUCUAUCUCUUUUAUACUUUUUAGGGAAUAAUAUCUUGUGAUUAGUGUUUUAGCCUUGUGAAUUGAAUGAAUCUUAGGUUCUCCUUUGAUUUCUACUGAUUAAUUAUUUCUAUUGAUUCUUUACA